AGCGAACGCUGGCGGCAGGCCUAACACAUGCAAGUCGAACGAACUCUUCGGAGUUAGUGGCGGACGGGUGAGUAACACGUGGGAACGUGCCUUUAGGUUCGGAAUAACUCAGGGAAACUUGUGCUAAUACCGAAUGUGCCCUUCGGGGGAAAGAUUUAUCGCCUUUAGAGCGGCCCGCGUCUGAUUAGCUAGUUGGUGAGGUAAAGGCUCACCAAGGCGACGAUCAGUAGCUGGUCUGAGAGGAUGAUCAGCCACAUUGGGACUGAGACACGGCCCAAACGAAGACGGGAGGCGGCAGUGGAGAUGAUGGCAGAAUGGGCGAGAGACUGACGCGGCCGGGUGGGGUGAAUGAGGAAGGACUUAGGAUUGAAAACUUCUGGGCCGGGGGGGAAUAAAGAAGGUGCGGGGAGAACAGGCCACGGACAGCGUCGGGCCAGCAGCGGCGGUAAGAAAGGAAAGAGCACACUUCUGACC
rnacentral:rRNA from 1 species